UUGACCUUAAGCCUGCUGGGUUGACUUGCUCUAAUCAAGGCGCUAUCACACGUGUCCCGUCUGGGUGGAGGAAUUCGACGAUUUUGUCGUGCUACGCUUCACCCUUUUGCUGCUGCUCUUGUGAUUUUCCAGAUGGGAAAGGUUUCAUCAAUCUGGCAAAGUGAGGAUGGUAGAGGUCAGAAAUGUCCACCGAUGCCAGAGGACAUAUGAUGGAAGUGCCUCUUCACAGACUAUCACAGCGUAGACUCAUCUCUCCCGGCACACGCACCGAUGUGAAGUUACAGCCUUGGGGAAUACUGAACAGAUUGAAGCAGAGCGGCCUGGGCAGGCAGAGGACCACGAGAGACUGAACCCUGGCCAGGCGUGAGGAUUAUACCCCUUGGAUGUCAAAAUGAUGCCUCAAAACCCAACUGGUAUAGUCCCAUAUACAGAGAUAUGGUGUUCAAGUUAUGUGAAGUCUCGAUAUCAUGGAUCUCAAGAUUCAUUCAUCUGUUUAUUUGUUCAACAAAUAUUUGUCGAACUCAAGAAGCACAUAGAAGAAGAAAAGAGUUAAAGAAGCAGCCUGAAAAAAAGUGGCUAAAACAUCCACCAGACAAGAGUGAAUUCUACUACCUCGGCAGACUGUUGUCAGGAGACGAGCCAAAAGGUAAUGUAGGGAAUAAGAGAAAAAAGCUAGAUUGCUUUUUUUUUUUUGAAAAAAAAAAAAAAAGUGGAAAGAAUACCUUCUAA
rnacentral:lncRNA from 1 species